AUUAAAUUAAAGCAGACAGAAGACGUUCUGAAAGAAAAUCAUUGUGCAGUCAUCAAGCCCAUUCCACAUUAAAAUGAUCACUGAUACAUUGUUAAUCAAUACUCUGAUAAAGUGAUUGAUCCAUUGAGAAACAGCAUCAUCAGAGUAAUCCAAGUCCCUGUUGGAGUCAGUCAGAGCAUUUCCAUAGAGAGCCACUUUGCAUCAGCAGCACCAUGCUCCAGUGCUCUGGGAGAGUUUAUAGUCCUGAGAGUUGAACACUGGAUGACUGACAGCUGUCCUUCAUGACAACAGAAGACACAGAAAUCCUCCUCAUCAAAAACAUGACUUUGAUCUCCGUCCUCAUCUGGACUCUCCUCUGCUGCUGCUUCACAGAGUCCAGAGGCCAGGUCACAGUGACUCAGCCUGGAGCAGUGAGCUCUGCUGUGGGAGGCUCCGUCACCAUCAGCUGUAGGACCAGUCAUCAGUUUUGGAGUUGUAGCAGUGCAUACUGUUUAGCCUGGUACCAACAGAAAGAUGGAGAAACGCCUAAACUUCUAAUUUACUACACCAAUCAGAGAAUGUCAGGGAUUCCAACUCGUUUUACAGGCAGUGGAUCAGGGACAGACUUCACUCUGACCAUCAGUGGAGUCCAGGCUGAAGACGCAGCAGUUUACUACUGUCAGGGUGCUAACACUGUCAACAGUCAGUAUGUGUUCACACAGUGAAAAAGCGUCGUAC